AAGGAAUAUUGCUCAAUGGGAGAAAUCCUGAAGCAGCAACGCCGCGUGGAGGAUGAAGGGUCUAUGACUUGUAAACUCCUGUAAAGAAGGAAAAAAUUCCCAUUUGAUGGGAGAUGAUGGUACUUCUGGAGUAAGCCCCGGCUAACUACGUGCCAGCAGCAGUGGUAAAACGUAGGAGGCGAGCGUUAUCCGGAUUUACUGGGCGUAAAGCGCGUGCAGGCGGAUUGGAGAGUUGGAUGUGAAAGCUCCCGGCUUAACUGGGAGAGGUCGUUCAAUACUUCCAGUCUUGAGUGCAGUAGAGGGAAGUGGAAUUCCGGGUGUAGUGGUGAAAUGCGUAGAUAUCCGGAGGAACACCAGUGGCGAAAGCGGCUUCCUGGACUGUAACUGACGCUCAGACGCGAAAGCUAGGGUAGCAAACG
rnacentral:rRNA from 1 species